CUCUCUCUCUAUUAUUUUCUCACUCGCCGAUUUCUCUUAUUGGUGAUUCCAACUGAGGUGCUUUUGUUUAUGUGUGCUCUGGAUUUUAUUUCGUUUAAAUAAGGGCUUUUAUUAUUUGUGUGUCUGUGAAAUUCUGGAAAGCUUUGGGUAUUCCUAGUGCUUCUAAAGCUUUGGAUACUGCCAAAUUGUCGUUUUCUGUGUUCAAUUAUACUAAACUCAGGAGACUAGGGAUGCUGUCAUGUGCUUUAUAGUUAGCUUUAAGUUCAUUUCAUUUACACACUCUUUUUUCCGGUAUAGUUAGAACUUAGAAUUCAGAUUUCCUGUUACCAUAUUUUCCUGCUACUAUUUGAAUUUAGUAAACUAACCUAUGGCUCCAAACAGCGAGCCAUCAACUCCACAGCUCAUAUCAGUGCAGUGCAGAACCCUCUGGCCCAUCUCUCCGACCUUUUAGCGAGUUACCCACACUUGAUACUUUGUGUAAGCAGCCCUUCUCUGCGGGAAGUCAUCAUUAGCCAACAAUGACAUUGCCGCUUUCCCAUUUAUUAGCCAGUAGCUCACCUGGUUCCCGAUCUUCGUCUUGAUGUUGGGAUUCAUGUAAAUGUCCACCGGCUCCAAUCCUACUUCAAACCUUCCUUUUCCUUCUCUUUUCACAGUUUCCUUAACCAGUGUUGUUAGGGUCGCGGGGCGCCCCGGGGCGAUGAGGGGGGACCCCGGGUCGCGGGGCGAUGGGGCGACGGGGCGAGAGACCCACGAAUCGGGGCGCCAGAAUAGCCGAAUGAAAAUUAUAUUUGUGUCUCUUUUAUAAGUUUGUUGCUUGAAUGUUUAUCACAUCAAAUAAAUCUACAUGCAUCAUUACUCCAUAUUAAAAAGAGAAGAUUAGACGAAAAAAUAUAAAUUUUUAAACAACAUAACUAAAUAACUAAAUUUUAUUAUAAAAAAUCAUCAAAGUUCCAAAAAAAGUUGCAAAAUAUAAAAUAAUUAAGUAAAUAGUAUGUGUAGGAUUUUAUGAUCUUAUCAUUCAAGAUAAUUUGGAUUUAAAUUUAUUUAUUUUUUGUUUGAUGUAUUAGAUCAGGGCAAUUUUUAUAAAGAGGAUAUAAUUUGUGUGUCAAGUUAUAUCUAUGAUGAGCCUCAAAUUAACUAUAGUAUUAAAAUAUUUAGUUAUCUUUUAUUUAAUCAUUUCAUUUUAAUAGAAUUAAAAAAUUGAAGAGAAGAAGUAAGCUAUGACUUAUUUCAUUUUAAUAGAAUUAAAAAAUUGAUAAGGCCACGUGCAUUGCUCACUACUAUUCAACUAAGUGGCGAAUUUAUUUUAUGAUAAGGCCACGUGCAAUAGCUCACUUCCCAAAGCAUACCUACCCCUCUUCUCCCCUUCCAUUAACACAAAUUCUGCAAUUCCCAAUUUAAACCUAAAAAUGGAGCACCCAUUUUCCCGACGACCACCACGAAUCGGGGCGACCCAGACGCCCCAGGCGCGCCCCACCGUUGCUCCACGGAUCUCGCACGACCCCGCCGCAUCAGGGCGAUGUCGGUCUCGACCCUUGCGACCCGCGACCCAAGCGCGCUCGGGGCGCGAUUUUAACAACACUGUCCUUAACAAGUGUCUAUUAACUCUUCCUAGGCGAUUUCUCUACUGCCUUUGUCCGUUUCCUUUAUAGCUCCGACUUAACUAGUGAGUUAGCUUCACCAUCAAUGUGUAAGUCUAGAUAAUGUGUUCUGAAGUGAUCAUGGUUGUUUCCUACCAAGUUUUCUGCUACCAAGUUGUCGUACAUAUCUCUGGUCAUUUCCUCACUAUUUCUGUAUUUUGUAGCCUCCCAUUCCUGCAGUGAAGUUUCAUCUUCAGUAAAUGGCAUUAUACUAGAAUGUUGCAAUACUUUCUCUUAUGUUAUCAAUCCUUCUCUUUGUUAUAUCAUUUUUUGAUUUGUUUUCAAAAACUUCAAUUGUAAAACAGUCUAGAAAUACUAAAUGAUCUUGCAUUGAAAUACCUUGCAGCCACUAUCUGAUGCUUAUAGAUCUGGCCAUCCUGGUAUAUGUUAAAUACUCCAGAGAAUUGGUGGAACUGUACACUACAGUUCUUGUCAACAUAGUGAGCUAUGAUCUUAAUAGCCCUUCCCAUGUUAUGUGAUGAAAAUCUAGUUAGUAAUUGUGCUAAUUGACUCUGCUAAAAUUUCUAAAAUUUCUUGCAGUGUGAGCUUAGUGCAUAGUAGUCCAUGAAGUAUCUCACUUCUACUUGCUUGUUACCGAAUUUGAUUGAUUCUCAAAGUCCAUGUUUGGAGAUUGAUUCAGCCAAGGUUGACUGGAAUGGGAAGACUCUUAUUGGUGAAGUCAUUUCUCUUACCUUAUAGUUGAUUCAACCUCCUGAGCUAUGAAGAGCUGCGAGAGCUCAAGCACAAGAUCGAGCUCUCGCUAAAUAAAGUCUGAGCUCGAAAAGUGAAACUGAAUACUAUUUCUCUUCCACAUCACUUAUAAUUAUAAAUAUCCAUCUUAUUAACCAAUUAUUAGUUCUUAUUUUAGUUUCAGCUUAUUCAAGAGCAAGUCGAGAAUCUCAAGAGGAUGGAAGGGGGCUGAUGGAGAAGGUGAAUCAAGAAAUGUACCACUGGGAAUUUGCAUACGUGAGAGACAUACCAACAGUCAUGGUGACCUAACUUGUCCCUAUAAGAAUAACCAGAAAUUGAGGUGUUGGAGCCUUAAAGGGAAAACAAACAGGAAAUUAUAGUGAAAAGCAUGCAAAGAAAACAGUAAAUAUAUAAAGUUUUAGUUGUUGUGCACUGCAACUGCAAGAGAUCAAUCACGAGAUCGUUGUUCUGGCGACUUAAUUGCAUAUAUGGUAUUUAUUCAUAAGGUAAACUGUUGGUUUGAUGUUACUUGUGUUAAUUGCAUUUGUGAAAACAAGAGUUGAUACCUAUGAUACCCAGAACUUCUUCUUGGUUAUGUUUGUGUUUCAUUGAUCAUGUAGUGAUUGUAAAUUGUUAUAGUGGCUAUAUUUGCUAAAGAAAUUUCAGUCAGCAUCUUCCAGUUUUCAUUUCUUUUGUUCCAGUGUACAAUUCCCAUAACCUAUGAACGAGGACUUUGGAAUCCAUCAUGAUUGGUGUGAAUCGUUCAGCACACCUAUGAUCUCCUACCUGCAGAUCAUCUUUUCUCAUGACCCGAAGUGGCUCGGAAAAAUUACAUUGGAAACUUACAUCUAGUUUCAUAUAUGGCUGAGUCAGCUAUUAUAAUAUGAAUUCUUCUCAAAGAUGGAAAAUUAUUUGCAAUGAUGCAAGAGAUGGUGAAGCAACUCAUGAUGUCCUCAAGUCAAGUCACACUUUUGAUGGUUCUCUGCUGUGGUGGGAACACAGCAGGCGGUGCUUUCUCGGUGUUCAAACUUUAAUCUAUCCAUUCCAAAUAGCUUCCAGCUCACGCUUCCGGCAUGCUCUCACCAAUCCAUAAUACUACUAACCAAUAUUUUAGUGAUUUAUGUUGAAUAAUGAUUAGAUUAAAUUAAAUAAUGAUUAAUUAAUAAUCACUCCGUUCUAUAAGUAUAUGCUUUUUCCAUUUCCAUCCGUUUCACAAAUUUAUAUGUAUUCCAUUUUUGUAAAGUUAUCUCAAUUAAUUACUCGUAUGCAUUAACUUUUUUACAACUUAUACCACAAUUAAACACUACUAUAA